rnacentral:rRNA from 1 species
GACGAACGCUGGCGGCGUGCUUAACACAUGCAAGUCGAACGGAAAGGCCCUGCUUUUGUGGGGUGCUCGAGUGGCGAACGGGUGAGUAACACGUGAGUAACCUGCCCUUGACUUUGGGAUAACUUCAGGAAACUGGGGCUAAUACCGGAUAGGAGCUCCUGCUGCAUGGUGGGGGUUGGAAAGUUUCGGCGGUUGGGGAUGGACUCGCGGCUUAUCAGCUUGCUGGUGGGGUAGUGGCUUACCAAGGCUUUGACGGGUAGCCGGCCUGAGAGGGUGACCGGCCACAUUGGGACUGAGAUACGGCCCAGACUCCUACGGGAGGCAGCAGUGGGGAAUAUUGCACAAUGGGCGGAAGCCUGAUGCAGCAACGCCGCGUGCGGGAUGACGGCCUUCGGGUUGUAAACCGCUUUCGCCUGUGACGAAGCGUGAGUGGCGGUAAUGGGUAAAGAAGCACCGGCUAACUACGUG